CUCCACACACGAGUUGAUGCUAUUUAAGAUCGCCAACCCCUCCUCUGCCGAUUUUUGGCAAAACCCCUCGCUCCCAUGCCCUAUCUCGCCCGUACCAGAAGAUCGGAUCUCGUCGGAGUUGCGUGCCCGACAGAAGCUUUCGCCGUCGUUUCGGUCGUCUCUGAAGGAACCCCUGGAACGACUCAAUAGAGCUCGAUCAGGAGCCCUCGCCGUCGCUGCGACUUCAGCCGCACGUCAUCACCACCAGAGGACGGGACCGUCGCAGAAGAGAACGAAUUCAACGUCUACAGGAAUGUCCGCCUCCAGUAGAGUCCUUCUUGAGCUCGGGGGACCACCGCAAACGUCUUCACCGUCGAGGUCCGAGCCGCCGAGGUCUUCUUCUCCAAGUCCGGCGAUGCCUUUCCCUUUGUUCCGCGAUUGUCCCGAGUGCGAAGCAGAUCAGGACUAAGCAUUGUAGUACUUCAACACCGUUCAAGG